rnacentral:rRNA from 1 species
UACGGGGGAGCAAGCGUUGUUCGGAUUUACUGGGCGUAAAGGGCGCGUAGGCGGCCACCGCAAGUCGACUGUGAGAUCUCCGGGCUUAACCCGGAAAGGUCAGCCGAUACUGCGGGGCUAGAGUGCAGAAGGGGCAACUGGAAUUCUCGGUGUAGCGGUGAAAUGCGUAGAGAUCAGCAGGAACACCCGUGGCGAAGGCGGCCCCUGGGCCGUACCUGACGCUGAGGCGACGAAGGCUAGGGGAGCGAACGGG